rnacentral:rRNA from 1 species
AUUGGUAGCCCUCGCGCCUCGUGCCCCGUCUUUGGAGUGCGCAGAGGAAUGUGUGCUUCUUUUGAAAGGCCAAAACCAACUCUUGGCAACGGAUAUCUCGACUCUCGUAUAGAUAAAGAA